AGAAGGCCCGUGCCGCUGAAGUGCCGCCGAGGAGCUGCAGCAUGUGUAGGUCCCCGCUGACGAAGACCCGGAGUGCUGCCGGGUGAGUAAAAAUUUUAAAAGGCGCCUAUAAAUUAAAAAGGUGCCAUUUGUGCUCAGAGCGGGAGCGGCCGCUCCCUCCCGGCUAUGCUACUGUGUGCAUCAGGUGGG